rnacentral:lncRNA from 1 species
GAAGCCUUCCAGAUGAUGAAGCUCAGAGAAGGAAGAUGUCCUUCCUAGGGGCACACCGCAGAGCACACAGAUUCCAGCCAGGGUCCUUGCGUCUCCAGCAGGAGCGCUCUUCUACCACACCCAGCUGCCCGCACUGGGGGCUUCCCUGUGUGUGUGGUGUGUGCACUUCUUCCACCUGAGACGGAUCCACCCAUACAGAAGUGUUGGGGACAGCACGCACGGCCUUUCCUGGAUCAGUCUGUGUUGGGACGACUCAAGGGAACUCAGUGCUGAUGCUCCAGGGCUUACUGUCUGCUGACAUGUUGUCAGGAUCAGGAAGGGAGGCGUUUUGGCAUCAAGAAUAUUUUUCAUAUCCCCUAACAGGUGCUGUGGUGACUCCUACUCCUCUGGUCCUGAUGCAACUUGAAAUGUGGCUCAAAGGAAAGAAGAAACACCGCCUUUGGCACUUGGUGUCUGAAAAUUUAUACAGAGAAUUUCAAUGUUUAUAUGCCAUCAUUUUGAGGUAUGGUAUUUUACCAAACUGUUUCACUGUAUUUUGACACAUCCAUUGCCACAUUAACUUGGGGGAAAAAAUGAAUGAAAUUUUGACUGAGUUUGGAAUAAAAAUUUUGAAUAUCAGCA